rnacentral:tRNA from 1 species
GGGGAUGUAGCUCAGUUGGUAGAGUGCUUGCCUUAUAUGCACAAGGCCCUGGGUUCUCAUCUCCA